UACAGAGGGUGCAAGCGUUGUCCGGAAUCAUUGGGCGUAAAGGGCGCGUAGGUGGCGGGACAAGCGUGCGGUGAAAGCCUGGGGCUCAACCCCGGGUCGGCCGUGCGAACUGUUUUGCUUGAGCACUGUAGAGGCAGGCGGAAUUCCGGGUGUAGCGGUGGAAUGCGUAGAGAUCCGGAAGAACACCGGUGGCGAAGGCGGCCUGCUGGGCAGUAGCUGACACUGAGGCGCGACAGCGUGGGGAGCAAACAGG
rnacentral:rRNA from 1 species